UAGUUUUCACUUAAACUUGACCUUGAAAUUCUUGAGACUUGCAUUAAUGAAUUGAAUAUGUGAAUAUGUCUGUUUUAUAAUAAUGAAUAAAUAUGUGUAUUUUGCUGUUUGCAAAAACUUGAUAUAGUCUGAUCGUAUAGUUUAUAUAUAUAGACUACUGUACUGUAUAUAAGAUAUAAUGGAGGAAGUGAGUCUCGUCCUUGUAUUGUUCAGUGUGUUGCAAUACAGCCUGGCCACUAGAUGGCAGUGUAUCGGGCACUUGCAGCGUGUCUUGUUGUCUCUGCAUCAGUCAGGAAACAUAGGUCAUUUCGGCAAAUUCAGUUACAGUGUUUUGUGUAAACGUUUUAUAACUUAAAGCUGUGGUGAGCCUGGUCGUACCAAUUACCAAUGAAAUCUUGCGCUGUCACUGACAAGGUUGAAGUCACCACAGUCAAUCCUGUCAACAACAGCGCUGUCAGUUUAUUGUCUAGCACACUAUGGUGCGCCACAGCAAGCUACAGAAACAGGUCUUAUCUCUGUAUCGGCAGUUUCUGCGCUCAGCACAGGAGAAGCCGGGCUUCUUACCGAGAAUACGUGAUGAAUUCCGUGCCAACUCUGCCAUCAAGAAGACCGACGUCAUGCACAUAGAAUAUCUGUAUCGGCGAGGCCAACGCCAACUUGAACUGCUUAAAGAUGUAAACACUAAACAGCUUGGAUCAUUCAGCAAGUCUAAAGAGGACAGCUGACCACUCAAAUAGCCUAACAACAUAUAAUCGGUCAUAUAAUCAGUACUCUAUUCAAAUAUUUUACGAAAAUAUGACCCGAAAAGAACAAAAUUGUUUUUUUGGGGGGGAAACACCUCCCUUAUUUAAAUGGAAUAUCCAAAUGACUUGGCUGGACAAGAUUAACCCAUUGCUGUUUUAUCUUUAUGGUGUUAUUUAUGUACAUUAAUUUGCAGAUUAAACCCAUAUUAUUUGGUGUUAUGUCAGUAUUCUACUUUUUUCUACUUUCUCUGACUUCGAUUUCUUGUAGUUACUUCUGCAUAAACUGAAAAUAACUUUCUCGUUCUGAACUCUUAUGUUAAAAAAUGUGGAUAAUAAUACUGAUUUUAUACAUGCAUACAUUAUUUUAUCUUUAUUUAUGAUUAUUUAUUUAUAGUAGUUAUAUUUUUGGUGCUAUUUAGAUUUGAUGAUAUGAUGUUUGUCAUGUUUCUCAAGUAAUGACUUGCCCGUCCAUAAGUGGGCGCAAGUGCGAAAAUAAAUCUGAUUUCAUUGGCGGAAGAAGAACACGCUGCGCUGUAAACACAGGAAGAUCAUGUAAGUUGUGUCACAAAAGCAAGGAACGGAAUUUUAGCUGUAGUCCAUAGUUUACUUAUUAAUUAUCGCAUACAUUAAUAACUUAUUGAACUUCUCAACAAAAGUAUGGCGGAGUCAAACGGGAUGACAGAUGCCCAGUUGAUUCAGCAGCUGGCUCUGCUGGGCUGGCUGAAGACCGACAGUGUACCGUGUAAAGAUCUGCUCACUGCUGUUACUGGGAUUCAGGUGGGCCGUGAGCUUCUGGACAGACUCUCUGGGCAAAGCCAGAUAGAUGCAUACAGGAGGGAAUGCAUCCUGAGUAUUGCUGACUUUGUGAAGAAGAAUCCCAGGGCUUCUCAGCGCGAGCUCAAUGCCGAGGUUGAGAAGAACGUGCUGGUGUUUGCCUCUAGAGUGCAGACCCUAUAGAUAUACACUUCAUAUCUUUUAUCCUUUUGUCUUUUUCCCUGUAUCUCUGUAUUCUAACAAAUCUAACUAGCCGACUAUCUAAACUGUUAUGUUGAGGAUGCUUGUUUUUUUAUAAUCUUGAAUAAUUAUUUAUGAGGGCAAUCUGUUUUUUAAAUUUUUUUAAAUAUUUUUAUUGGGAUUUUUUUUUUAAUGAUAUAUAAUGCUGAUUUUUACUGGUUAUGAUAUUUACUGUUACUGUGAUAUCCACUAUACAGAAAAUCAAUGUGUUGUUGAGUUAAGAUGUGAUUUUAAUCUUCUAGUUCUAAUCUGAAAUAAAGCGCUCAUAUCUGAU